GUCACAAAGCUUGUAAAAUAUCACUUGCCAUAAAAGCUUGCUUUUCACUAUCUUCUUCAACCUCUUUGUUGAUUCUUAUUUGCAAGUAAAGAUUAAGUAGAUGUUCAUGCUGGUGACGAGGCUUUAACUUCUUUUUCUAUAGCUUUGUGUGUACCAUGUUUUGAUAACUAAUCACAUAUUAGGACUUGGACAUUAUUUGUUUUAGUUGUUUCUAUAUUUUUAUAUUUAAUUAUUUAGUUUGAAAUUUAUGUAUGGCUUGGUUACUUAAACAUUGUUAUUGGUUUUUCAUUUUAUAUAUUGGAUUCAUUUAACUAGAUUUAAAAUGAACAUUAUAACUUUGAACAUUGAUUAUAGAAUUUUGAGAAAAUCCCAUUGUUCUUUAUGUUUAAUUGUUAAAAUUCCUUUUUAUUUAUUAUAAUAAUUAUAUAGGAGCAAAGGGUAUUAUAUUUAGUAGUAUCAAAGUAAGUCAAUUUUUCUAGAUAAUGUAUUAUGUGUUUUCUAUGUUUUUCCAUGUAUACUCUAACCUGUUUUACUUUGUUUAUUUUGUUUUCAUCUUACCUUUUAUUUACUUAUUGUAUGAUCUCAAUAGAUUAAAGGAGUAAAUGGUUGGUAGGAAUGAUCGUGAAAUUGUUGAUGCUCUACAAGCCUUAACAUCGUUUGUGGGGAAUUAAAAUGAUGGGACCGUUGGUGGAUUAGUUUAAUAUAAUCGUUUGGAUUAACUUUUUAAGAAAAAAAUCCAUUUAUCUUCUAGGGGGUUAUGAUCUUGAUGGAGGUCAAAGUUAGGUGUGAAAAAUUGAGAAAAAUUUUGUGCGGUUGCAACAAGAUAAAAGGUGGCUCUUGACACCUUCAUGCUCUUUGAAGAGGCUAAGUAUUGGUGGAAACCAUAACUGAAAAGAGAUGGAGUUCUUGAAGAGGUACUUUCUCAUGGACAACCAUAACUGAAAAGAGAUGGAGUUCUUGGAGAUCAAAUAAGGGAACACGGCUAUAACGAAGUAUGCCAUAAAGUUUGAGGAAUUAUCAUGGUAUUUCUUUUACUAUAACCUUGAGAGGGGGAUAGAUCCAAGUGUGUUAAGUUCAUUAAUGGAUUGUGCAUGAAGAUCAAGCAAGUUGUUAACUAUUAUGGGAUUCACCAGUUUCUUAUACUGAAAAGGAUAAGAAGGCAAGGGCUGCACAUUAUAAAAGUGUAGGUCCAACUUGAGAAAAGUGAUAUAGAGCUUAGAAUGAUGAGAAGCCUUACAUUGCCCCUAACAAGUUAGUAGAGUAAAUGCUUUAGUAGACAUGAAUCUAGCAUUGGCUCUUUAGCUAGUGGUGGAAGUGAGGGAGCUUCUCUUUCUACCCCUACUAAGGUCUAAGAAGUGUGGUCAUGUUGAUGAUGAAGUUGAGGCUUAUCUUGAUAAGUAGGUGAUUUGUUUCAUUAGCUAGAAGCAAGAACACAUUAGUAUUCAUUAUCUUUAUUACAAGAAGGAACAUAAAAGUGGUGGUCAGAGCUCUCAAUAAGGACAAUUGUUAAAUAUUCAAAAUUAUCACUUUAGAAAUGAUUGUUAUGAUUAUCUUUAAUCAAAUCAAUCUAUUCUUUUUACUAUAUGACUUUUUAAACUAAACCCUUAAUUAUUGAAUCUUCUUGUUAUUAA